GAUGAACGCUGGCGGCGUGCCUAAUACAUGCAAGUCGAGCGAACGGACGAGAAGCUUGCUUCUCUGAUGUUAGCGGCGGACGGGUGAGUAACACGUGGAUAACCUACCUAUAAGACUGGGAUAACUUCGGGAAACCGGAGCUAAUACCGGAUAAUAUUUUGAACCGCAUGGUUCAAAAGUAAAAGACGGUCUUGCUGUCACUUAUAGAUGGAUCCGCGCUGCAUUAGCUAGUUGGUAAGGUAACGGCUUACCAAGGCAACGAUGCAUAGCCGACCUGAGAGGGUGAUCGGCCACACUGGAACUGAGACACGGUCCAGACUCCUACGGGAGGCAGCAGUAGGGAAUCUUCCGCAAUGGGCGAAAGCCUGACGGAGCAACGCCGCGUGAGUGAUGAAGGUCUUCGGAUCGUAAAACUCUGUUAUUAGGGAAGAACAUAUGUGUAAGUAACUGUGCACAUCUUGACGGUACCUAAUCAGAAAGCCACGGCUAACUACGUGCCAGCAGCCGCGGUAAUACGUAGGUGGCAAGCGUUAUCCGGAAUUAUUGGGCGUAAAGCGCGCGUAGGCGGUUUUUUAAGUCUGAUGUGAAAGCCCACGGCUCAACCGUGGAGGGUCAUUGGAAACUGGAAAACUUGAGUGCAGAAGAGGAAAGUGGAAUUCCAUGUGUAGCGGUGAAAUGCGCAGAGAUAUGGAGGAACACCAGUGGCGAAGGCGACUUUCUGGUCUGUAACUGACGCUGAUGUGCGAAAGCGUGGGGAUCAAACAGGAUUAGAUACCCUGGUAGUCCACGCCGUAAACGAUGAGUGCUAAGUGUUAGGGGGUUUCCGCCCCUUAGUGCUGCAGCUAACGCACUAAGCACUCCGCCUGGGGAGUACGACCGCAAGGUUGAAACUCAAAGGAAUUGACGGGGACCCGCACAAGCGGUGGAGCAUGUGGUUUAAUUCGAAGCAACGCGAAGAACCUUACCAAAUCUUGACAUCCUUUGACAACUCUAGAGAUAGAGCCUUCCCCUUCGGGGGACAAAGUGACAGGUGGUGCAUGAUUGUCGUCAGCUCGUGUCGUGAGAUGUUGGGUUAAGUCCCGCAACGAGCGCAACCCUUAAGCUUAGUUGCCAUCAUUAAGUUGGGCACUCUAAGUUGACUGCCGGUGACAAACCGGAGGAAGGUGGGGAUGACGUCAAAUCAUCAUGCCCCUUAUGAUUUGGGCUACACACGUGCUACAAUGGACAAUACAAAGGGCAGCGAAACCGCGAGGUCAAGCAAAUCCCAUAAAGUUGUUCUCAGUUCGGAUUGUAGUCUGCAACUCGACUACAUGAAGCUGGAAUCGCUAGUAAUCGUAGAUCAGCAUGCUACGGUGAAUACGUUCCCGGGUCU
rnacentral:rRNA from 1 species